rnacentral:rRNA from 1 species
AAGCUUACACAUGCAAGUCGAGCGGUAAGGCCCUUUCGGGGGUACACGAGCGGCGAACGGGUGAGUAACACGUGGGUGACCUGCCUCUAGCUCUGGGAUAAGCCUGGGAAGCUGGGUCUAAUACCGGAUAUGACCUCGCGGUGCAUGUUGCGGGGUGGAAAGCCUUGUGUGGCUAGAGAUGGGCCCGCGGCCUAUCAGCUUGUUGGUGGGGUGAUGGCCUACCAAGGCGACGACGGGUAGCCGGCCUGAGAGGGCGACCGGCCACACUGGGACUGAGACACGGCCCAAACUCCUACGGGAGGCAGCAGUGGGGAAUCUUGCGCAAUGGGCGAAAGCCUGACGCAGCGACGCCGCGUGAGGGAUGACGGCCUUCGGGUUGUAAACCUCUUUCAGCCCUGACGAAGCGAGAGUGACGGUAGGGGCAGAAGAAGCACCGGCCAACUACGUGCCAGCAGCCGCGGUAAUACGUAGGGUGCAAGCGUUGUCCGGAAUUAUUGGGCGUAAAGAGCUCGUAGGCGGUCUGUCGCGUCGGCUGUGAAAACUCGGGGCUCAACUCCGAGCUUGCAGUCGAUACGGGCAGGCUAGAGUGCGGCAGGGGAGACUGGAAUUCCUGGUGUAGCGGUGAAAUGCGCAGAUAUCAGGAGGAACACCGGUGGCGAAGGCGGGUCUCUGGGCCGAUACUGACGCUGAGGAGCGAAAGCGUGGGGAGCGAACAGGAUUAGAUACCCUGGUAGUCCACGCCGUAAACGUUGGGCGCUAGGGUGUGGGAUCCCUU